rnacentral:rRNA from 1 species
CCUACGGGGGGCUGCAGUGGGGAAUAUUGCACAAUGGGGGGAACCCUGAUGCAGCGACGCCGCGUGAGUGAAGAAGUAUUUCGGUAUGUAAAGCUCUAUCAGCAGGGAAGUAAAUGACGGUACCUGACUAAGAAGCUCCGGCUAAAUACGUGCCAGCAGCCGCGGUAAUACGUAGGGAGCAAGCGUUAUCCGGAUUUAUUGGGUGUAAAGGGUGCGUAGACGGGUAAGCAAGUUAGUUGUGAAAUCCCUCGGCUUAACUGAGGAACUGCAACUAAAACUACUUGCCUUGAGUACUGGAGAGGAAAGUGGAAUUCCUAGUGUAGCGGUGAAAUGCGUAGAUAUUAGGAGGAACACCAGUGGCGAAGGCGACUUUCUGGACAGUAACUGACGUUGAGGCACGAAAGUGUGGGGAGCAAACAGGAUUAGAUACCCCUGUAGUC